rnacentral:rRNA from 1 species
AACGAACGCUGGCGGCAGGCCUAACACAUGCAAGUCGAGCGCUGCAGCAAUGCAGAGCGGCAGACGGGUGAGUAACGCGUGGGAACCUUCCCAGUGGUACGGAAUAGCCCAGGGAAACUUGGGGUAAUACCGUAUACGCCCGAAAGGGGAAAGACUUAUCGCCAUUGGAUGGGCCCGCGUAGGAUUAGCUAGUUGGUGAGGUAACGGCUCACCAAGGCGACGAUCCUUAGCUGGUCUGAGAGGAUGAUCAGCCACACUGGGACUGAGACACGGCCCAGACUCCUACGGGAGGCAGCAGUGGGGAAUAUUGGACAAUGGGCGCAAGCCUGAUCCAGCCAUGCCGCGUGAGUGACGAAGGUCUUCGGAUUGUAAAGCUCUUUUGGCGGGGACGAUAAUGACGGUACCAAAGGAGGAAGCCACGGCUAACUACGUGCCAGCCGCCGCCGUAACAC